UACGGAGGGUGCGAGCGUUAAUCGGAAUUACUGGGCGUAAAGCGUGCGUAGGCGGCUUGUUAAGUCAGAUGUGAAAGCCCUGGGCUCAACCUGGGAACGGCAUUUGAAACUGGCAGGCUAGGGUUAGGUAGAGGGGAGUGGAAUUCCAGGUGUAGCGGUGAAAUGCGUAGAUGUCUGAAGGAACACCAGUGGCGAAGGCGGCUCCCUGGACCCAAACUGACGCUGAGGUACGAAAGCGUGGGCAGCAAACAGG
rnacentral:rRNA from 1 species